UACGUAGGGCGCAAGCGUUAUCCGGAAUUAUUGGGCGUAAAGAGCUCGUAGGCGGUUUGUCGCGUCUGCCGUGAAAGUCCGGGGGCUCAACUCCGGAUCUGCGGUGGGUACGGGCAGACUAGAGUGAUGUAGGGGAGACUGGAAUUCUGGUGUAGCGGUGAAAUGCGCAGAUAUCAGGAGGAACACCGAUGGCGAAGGCAGGUCUCUGGGCAUUAACUGACGCUGAGGAGCGAAAGCAUGGGGAGCGAACAGG
rnacentral:rRNA from 1 species